rnacentral:rRNA from 1 species
UACGGGGGGGGCAAGCGUGGUUCGGAAUUACUGGGCGUAAAGGGCUCGUAGGCGGCCAACUAAGUCGGAUGUGAAAUCCCCAGGCUUAACCUGGGAACUGCAUCCGAUACUGGAUGGCUUGAAUCCGGGAGAGGGAUGCAGAAUUCCAGGUGUAGCGGUGAAAUGCGUAGAUAUCUGGAGGAAUACCGGUGGCGAAGGCGGCAUCCUGGACCGGCAUUGACGCUGAGGAGCGAAAGCUAGGGGAGCAAACGGG